GUAGGUGGCAAGCGUUGUCCGGAAUUAUUGGGCGUAAAGCGCGCGCAGGCGGUUCUUUAAGUCUGAUGUGAAAGCCCACGGCUCAACCGUGGAGGGUCAUUGGAAACUGGAGAACUUGAGUACAGAAGAGGAAAGCGGAAUUCCACGUGUAGCGGUGAAAUGCGUAGAGAUGUGGAGGAACACCAGUGGCGAAGGCGGCUUUUCUGGUCUGUAACUGACGCUGAGGCGCGAAAGCGUGGGGAGCAAACAGGGAUUAGAUACCCUGGUAGUCCACGCCGUAAACGAUAAGUGCUAAGUGUUAGGGGGUUUCCCGCCCCUUAGUGCUGCAGCUAACGCAUUAAGCACUCCGCCUGGGGAGUACGGCCGCAAAGGCUG
rnacentral:rRNA from 1 species